CCUACGGGUGGCAGCAGUGAGGAAUAUUGGUCAAUGGACGAGAGUCUGAACCAGCCAAGUAGCGUGAAGGAUGACUGCCCUAUGGGUUGUAAACUUCUUUUAUAUAGGAAUAAAAUGUUCCACGUGUGCCAUUUUGUAUGUACUUUAUGAAUAAGGAUCGGCUAACUCCGUGCCAGCAGCCGCGGUAAUACGGAGGAUCCGAGCGUUAUCCGGAUUUAUUGGGUUUAAAGGGAGCGUAGGUGGAUUGUUAAGUCAGUUGUGAAAGUUUGCGGCUCAACCGUAAAAUUGCAAUUGAUACUGGCAGUCUUGAGUACAGUAGAGGUGGGCGGAAUUCGUGGUGUAGCGGUGAAAUGCUUAGAUAUCACGAAGAACCCCGAUUGCGAAGGCAGCAUACCGGCGCUCAACUGACGUUCAUGCACGAAAGUGUGGGUAUCGAACAGGAUUAGAUACCCGGGUAGUC
rnacentral:rRNA from 1 species